rnacentral:lncRNA from 1 species
GUAGUCUCCUUAGGUCAGAGCAGCAGGUAGCCCCCCAUUUAUGAGGGUCAGGGAAAGACCCACUCACUCUCUCCAGAUGGCUCUUAGCCAGAGGGCCAGGCAGGGGGGAUUUGAGGGCUGGACUCCAGACACCUUGCCUCCCCAUGCUGAGCCCACAGAGACUCUCAGCAGCAGAGGGAGGGAGAAGCAAUGUCUCUCUUGGGCAGGUGGUCUCAGCACCACAAGGCUGCGUACAGCAAGCCCCCAGCCUUAGGAAUCUGUUUCCCUCCUGAGCCAGGGCUGGGCUCCCCUUACGUACACCUUGUCCCAACCCAGGGCCCUCCCCACUGCCUGAUCUGUAGGGCCAGCCCAUCCAGGCCUGGGGCUCACUAGGGACCUCUGCCCCAGGCCUGGGGGCAGAAUGUGAAUUCCAUGACCAAAUAGCCCCUCUCCUCACGGUUGUGUGGCUAGAGUCUCUCCACCUCUGACCCUCCAUCUCCUCAUCUUUCAGGGAGUGGAAGAAUGAGAUCACCCACAGAUCCCUACUCAUCCCACUUCCAUUCCCCCUACCCUUUCCCUACCACACACACAAACAUAUCCUGGCCUGGGGUGAAGUUGCUGAUUUUA